rnacentral:lncRNA from 1 species
GACAGACAGACAGACAGCCGGAGAGAGCGGGAGGGAGGAGGGCGGAGGAGAGGAGCAGGAGCAGGAGGAGGACUACGCGGGGCGCGUUCCCUCCCAGCAGCCGGGCGCCCGCGUCGCCGCCGCCGCCGGAAGACAGACGCCCCCCAAAGCCCUUCGCCUGGCUCGGACCCACGGAGCCGGCAGACCAGCACUCCGAUGGGAGCUUGCCUGCCUGUCUACCCAUCGGCCUGGACCCCAGAGCCCGCCCAGCUGAGUGCUUGCAGAGGGCCCCGGGUUCGGGGCAACUCUCAGGCCACCGAAGAGACCACCCUGGAAUCAUUGGCGAAGACAGACCUUUCCUGCUGAGCCGGGCUUGUCUACACAGCCUGCUCAGCUUUCAGAAAACCAACGCCAAGACCCCUCCCAGCGUCCACAUCGUCCUCUGGCAGGAGCGCCUGCCCCUCUGCCUCCUGACCCACCCCCUGCACCCCCUGCAGCCCCAUCUCCCCCCCCACCCCUCCCUGCCCAUCUCCUCCACGCAGAAGCCGAAGGUGAGCCCUUUCUGCACAAAACCAGCAAUUGUAAAUACUUUUUAAAAAUGUACAAAACUUAAAAACAAAACACAGUUUUAGAAAAAGACAAAAAAAAAAGAGAGAGAGAGAGAGAGAGCGCGAGCGAGCGUGUGCAAGAGGUUGCGAGCGGGGCCUCGAGGUGUCCAGAGCCCCUGCAAGUAUGCACUGAGAAAUUUAUCUACAGGUCGUUUGACAAAAAUGAACAAUAUCCUAUUUAUUGUAUAUACUGUUUUAUUAUAAAUCGUGGAUUGUAUAUUGCAUUCUGUAAACCUGCUGUGGUCCCGUGGUGUGCAAAUUCGCAUGGUUGGGGGGAGGGAGAAGAACCUCUUGCGGGAGCUUUUUUUUUUUCUUUCUUUCUUAUUUUUCACUCUUUUGGGUUUUCUCUUCUGUUGUUGUUGUUGUUUUCUGUUGGCAGGACACACCCAAAGAUCCAAGUUUGUAUUAAAAAGAAAUGAAAAAAAAGC